rnacentral:rRNA from 1 species
UACGUAGGUGGCAAGAGUUGUACGGAUUUAUUGGGCGUAAAGCGAGCGCAGGCGGUUCCUUAAGGCUGAUGUGAAAGCCCCCGGCUCAACCGGGGAAGGUCAUUGGAAACUGGGGAACUUGAGUGCAGAAGAGGAGAGUGGAAUUCCAUGUGUAGCGGUGAAAUGCGCAGAGAUAUGGAGGAACACCAGUGGCGAAGGCGACUUUCUGGCUAUUAACUGACGCUGAGGCGCGAAAGCGUCGGGAGCAAACAGG